UUAAAGAUUAAGCCAUGCAUGUCUAAGUAUAAGCUUUUAUACGGCUAAACUGCGAAUGGCUCAUUAAAACAGUUAUAGUUUAUUUGAUGGUCUUUACUACAUGGAUAACCGUGGUAAUUCUAUGGCUAAUACAUGCGCACAUGCCUCUUCCUCUGGAAGGGCAGUGUUUAUUAGAUACAGAACCAACCCACCUUCCGGUGGUCCUCGGGUGAUUCAUAGUAACCGAACGGAUCGCGUUUGACUUCGGUCUGCGACGGAUCAUUCAAGUUUCUGACCUAUCAGCUUUCGACGGUACUGUAUUGGACUACCGUGGCAGUGACGGGUAACGGGGAAUUAGGGUUCGAUUCCGGAGAGGGAGCCUGAGAAACGGCUACCACAUCUAAGGAAGGCAGCAGGC
rnacentral:rRNA from 1 species